UACGUAGGUGACAAGCGUUGUCCGGAUUUACUGGGCGUAAAGAGCGCGCAGGCGGUCGUUCAAGUCGAGUGUGAAAGCCCCCGGCUCAACUGGGGAGGGUCACUCGAUACUGAUCGACUUGAAGGCAGGAGAGGGAAGCGGAAUUCCCGGUGUAGUGGUGAAAUGCGUAGAUAUCGGGAGGAACACCAGUGGCGAAGGCGACUUCCUGGCCUGUUCUUGACGCUGAGGCGCGAAAGCUAGGGGAGCAAACGGGGAUUAAGAAA
rnacentral:rRNA from 1 species